rnacentral:lncRNA from 1 species
UUCUGAAAUGAGUUUGCUGCAGAUAGGAUUAUGUUGAUUAUUUUAUCCUCUUGUCGCUAUGAUCUGAAAUCAUUGAAGGGAUGUGAGUAAGCAAACAUGUUCUCAGGAUGUCUUGUACAGCCAAAGGCACCGGCUGAGAUUAGUGGAAACUUAUGCCUAGAAGGAUAUCUUGGUAAGCCUUGUCAUGGGGCGUUAGACAUGGCUAUGUUUAAUACGAAGUACUAGAGUGAUCAAUAGACUAGACCACAUAUGUUUACUUAAAUAUUGUUGAUCGAAUGAGCAUUUUUCUAAUAUGUUGAAAACGUUGUUAGAGUGAUGUAACUCAUAUAUAGACUUUUACAUAUAUUACAUACUGGAUUUGGUUGUGUUUCUGUUGCUGUUUAUACUGUGAAUAGUUUAUGCUCUAUUUGUUGAGAAAUGUACUAUUUAUCGAGAGGUGGUUUGCUCAUACCAUUCAUUGCAAUUCUUUUUCAGCUGCCGACAAAUAGGAGGAAAGCUACAUCAGUGAAGAAAUCUUAGGAAUUUGGGUUUUGGGUAUAACUUGAGAUAAUUGUGCGUAUAACUUGUGAUGAUACUUUUUGAGUUUAGUUUGUCAGUCCCUGGAGAUAUAUAUAUUAUGUUGGUGGAUUUUAGAACUCUAGUCAUGUAACUAUCCUAUUAUUAUGAGAUGUUAAUGAAUAUAUAUUUUGAUAACAG